rnacentral:lncRNA from 1 species
CGCUGCCUCAGACGGUCACCGAGCAGCUGAGGAGAAAGCAGCCAGACGGACCCACCAUGUCUGACAAACCAGAUUUCGCAGAAAUCGAAACGUUUGAUAAGACCAAGCUGAAGAAGACAGAAACAAGAGAGAAAAAUCCAUUGCCCACCAAAGAAACUAUCGAACAAGAAAAGCAAAGUGAGAACGCAUCCUGAGCGGCAGCGAGAUGAUGUGACUGCUGCUUCUUCAGUGGGGUUUGGGCUUCUGUGCCGGUUUUGUUCUGUUUUGUUUCCCCUCCCUUCCACCUUCCCCUCAGUGCUCAUUAUCCAUUUCAUUUAGCAAACACUCCUUUCAUGUUCCCAGGAAGAAGUUUGUUUUGUAUUUGUUGCUCUGUAUAUUUAAAAUGGAAAUUCUAAGUUCUGUACCACACCCAUCACUUGCAAAAAAAAACAAAAAAAAAACAAGCAAACCACCAACUGCAUAAAAAUGUUUUCCUAAACCUCACAAUGAACAAGUUUCUUCCAUCCAGCUGUGUUUGAGACUUUACAAAUAGGAGUUGCUGUGUAAACCU